rfam:Tupaia chinensis contig87103, whole genome shotgun sequence.
AGCUUUGCGCAGUGGCAGUAUCGUAGCCAAUGAGGUUUAUCCGAGGCGCGAUUAUUGCUAAUUGAAAAACUAAGCAUGAAUUUAAAAGUAUUUUUCACUGUAAUAAUUUCAUAUUUUAACUGCAUUGUCCUUGAACUUUUUGAAGUGUCCUCAUGUGU